GUUUUUACCAGCAACAAAAAAUUUAUUGAAUGAGAAGAACCAUGGUGUCCUCCACACAUCUGUAGUCCUCCUCACAGAAAUGUGUGAGCGAAGCCCAGACAUGCUUGCGCAUUUCAGAAAGGUAGCUUGUGCCCCAAUUAGUUCGUAUUUUAAAGAACCUCAUCAUGUCCGGAUAUUCACCAGAACAUGAUGUUUCUGGUAUCAGUGACCCCUUUUUGCAGGUACGAAUUUUGAGGUUAUUAAGAAUUUUAGGACGAAAUGAUGAUGAUUCAAGUGAAGCUAUGAAUGAUAUAUUAGCACAGGUUGCCACUAAUACUGAGACUAGUAAAAAUGUAGGAAAUGCUAUUCUUUAUGAAACGGUUUUGACUAUCAUGGAUAUUAAGUCAGAGAGUGGAUUGCGAGUCCUAGCCAUAAAUAUCCUGGGUCGUUUCUUAUUGAACAAUGACAAGAAUAUUAGAUAUGUGGCUCUGACAUCUUUGUUGAAGACUGUACAGACAGAUCAUAAUGCAGUACAGAGGCACAGAAGCACAAUUGUGGACUGUCUUAAAGAUUUGGAUGUCUCAAUAAAACGGCGUGCAAUGGAAUUGAGUUUUGCCCUGGUAAAUGGGAAUAAUAUCCGAGGCAUGAUGAAAGAAUUACUUUAUUUUCUGGAUUCGUGUGAGCCAGAAUUUAAAGCAGACUGUGCAUCUGGAAUCUUUCUUGCUGCAGAAAAGUAUGCACCUUCCAAACGAUGGCAUAUAGACACAAUUAUGCGUGUUUUGACAACGGCAGGAAGUUAUGUUCGUGAUGAUGCAGUCCCCAAUUUAAUCCAGCUAAUAACUAAUAGUGUGGAGAUGCAUGCCUAUACUGUCCAGCGCCUGUACAAAGCAAUUCUUGGUGAUUAUUCUCAACAACCUUUGGUACAGGUGGCUGCAUGGUGUAUAGGUGAAUAUGGUGAUCUUCUUGUAUCUGGCCAGUGUGAAGAGGAAGAGCCUAUUCAGGUAACAGAGGAUGAAGUGUUGGAUAUUUUAGAAAGUGUCCUAAUCUCUAAUAUGUCCACCUCUGUGACACGAGGUUAUGCCCUCACUGCCAUUAUGAAGCUUUCCACUCGAUUCACUUGUACUGUAAACCGAAUUAAGAAAGUGGUUUCCAUCUAUGGAAGCAGCAUUGAUGUGGAACUCCAGCAGAGGGCAGUAGAAUAUAAUGCACUUUUCAAGAAAUAUGACCACAUGAGGUCUGCCCUACUUGAGAGAAUGCCUGUCAUGGAAAAAGUGACCACAAAUGGCCCUACUGAGAUUGUGCAGACAAAUGGAGAGACAGAACCAGCUCCACUAGAGACCAAACCGCCACCCUCUGGGCCACAGCCCACCAGCCAGGCCAAUGAUUUAUUGGAUUUGUUGGGAGGAAAUGACAUAACACCUGUUAUUCCAACUGCACCUACAAGCAAACCAUCUUCUGCUGGUGGAGAACUUCUUGAUUUGCUGGGAGACAUCAACCUUACAGUCUCACUCUGUCAGCCAGGCUAGAGUGCAGUGGGAUUAUCUCAGCUCACUUCAACCUCUGCCUCCCAGGUUCAAGCGAGCCUCCUGCCUCAGCCUCCUGAGUAGCUGGGAUUAUAGGUCAAUGCCACCAUGCCCGGGUAAUUUUUUGUAUUUUUAGUAGAGACAGGGUUUUGCCGUCUUCAAGAGGAUAAUGAAGAGUUAAAGCAUACAUGACCUUGAGUAAAAAAUAGACACAGGAUAACAAGUUGGAUGGUUAGUUAAGCUCAUUCAUUCCCACAGGCUGAUUUUUUUUCCUAAUACAGUGGAGUCACAGAGUAUAGGAUUUAUGUCUGUGUCUUAACAAAAUUUCACAAUGUUACUUGUCAUGUACUUAUGAAUCAUUUACAAAUGGUCAAUUUCAAAUCCUCAAAUGUCAAAGCUGUACUGGAUAACUGGCAAAGAAAAAACAACCCCAUAGUUAAACCAUAGCAUAUACUUCACCUAAUAUGUUAGUAUUUCCAUGUUAGUAUAUAGCCUUCAUAAUUAUAAUUUUAGGUGACUAAUACUUUAUCAACAAAUUUGCUCUGUUUACUCAGUUCCUUAGUAUUGGGUAGUUUGGCUUUUCUUUUUUUUUGAAAUGGAAUUUUGCUUUGUUGUCCAGGCUGGAGUGCAACAGCAUGAUCUCGGCUCACUGCAACCUCUGCUUCCCGGGUUCAAGUGAUUCUCCUGCCUCAGCCUCCCGAGUAGCUGGGAUUUAUAGGCACGUGCCACCAUGCCCAGCUAAUUUUUGUAUUUUUUUAGUAGAGAUGGGGUUUCACCAUGUUGGCCAGGCUGGUCUUGAACUCCUGAUCUCAGAUGAUCCUCCCGCCUUGGCCUCCCAAAGUGCUGGGAUUACAGGCAUGAGUCACCGCACCCGGCCAGUAUGGGGUAUUUUGUUUCUAGAUUUUUCUUACCUAGCGGCCUCAACAAAUAUUACAUCAAUUUGAUCUUAUUUUAGAUUAAUUUCUUAGACCAAGUGACUUAGUCUUUCUGAAUCUGGUUAAAAUUAGGAUGAUUAAUACUUACUCCAUAAGAUAUUUGUGAGGCCCAUUGACCUAUUCAGUGCAUGAUACAUAGUAGGCACUUGGUAAAUAUUAUUUACCUUUUCCUCAAUUUAUAUGUUUAACCGCACAGUCAUAAGCAUUGUGUAUUAUCAUUUUAAAAAGCCCUAUUGGGUGAAAAUUUGGUCCUAUUAUAUUUAUUUUUAUUAUUAUUUUUUAAAUUUUGUAGCCCUCUGCCAGGCUUGGUCAGCAGAGAGAGGCCCUAUUAUUUUUUGAUCACGGAG
rnacentral:sRNA from 1 species